GCCGAUAUGGCGGAAUUGGCAGACGCGCCGGACUCAAAAUCCGGUUCCUUCGGGAGUACCAGUUCGACCCUGGUUAUCGGUA
rnacentral:tRNA from 2 species